rnacentral:rRNA from 1 species
AUAAUGGGUCAGCGACUUAUAUUCUGUAGCAAGGUUAACCGAAUAGGGGAGCCGAAGGGAAACCGAGUCUUAACUGGGCGUUAAGUUGCAGGGUAUAGACCCGAAACCCGGUGAUCUAGCCAUGGGCAGGUUGAAGGUUGGGUAACACUAACUGGAGGACCGAACCGACUAAUGUUGAAAAAUUAGCGGAUGACUUGUGGCUGGGGGUGAAAGGCCAAUCAAACCGGGAGAUAGCUGGUUCUCCCCGAAAGCUAUUUAGGUAGCGCCUCGUGAAUUCAUCUCCGGGGGUAGAGCACUGUUUCGGCAAGGGGGUCAUCCCGACUUACCAACCCGAUGCAAACUGCGAAUACCGGAGAAUGUUAUCACGGGAGACACACGGCGGGUGCUAACGUCCGUCGUGAAGAGGGAAACAACCCAGACCGCCAGCUAAGGUCCCAAAGUCAUGGUUAAGUGGGAAACGAUGUGGGAAGGCCCAGACAGCCAGGAUGUUGGCUUAGAAGCAGCCAUCAUUUAAAGAAAGCGUAAUAGCUCACUGGUCGAGUCGGCCUGCGCGGAAGAUGUAACGGGGCUAAACCAUGCACCGAAGCUGCGGCAGCGACGCUGAUGCGUUGUUGGGUAGGGGAGCGUUCUGUAAGCCUGUGAAGGUGUGCUGUGAGGCAUGCUGGAGGUAUCAGAAGUGCGAAUGCUGACAUAAGUAACGAUAAAGCGGGUGAAAAGCCCGCUCGCCGGAAGACCAAGGGUUCCUGUCCAACGUUAAUCGGGGCAGGGUGAGUCGACCCCUAAGGCGAGGCCGAAAGGCGUAGUCGAUGGGAAACAGGUUAAUAUUCCUGUACUUGGUGUUACUGCGAAGGGGGGACGGAGAAGGCUAUGUUGGCCGGGCGACGGUUGUCCCGGUUUAAGCGUGUAGGCUGGUUUUCCAGGCAAAUCCGGAAAAUCAAGGCUGAGGCGUGAUGACGAGGCACUACGGUGCUGAAGCAACAAAUGCCCUGCUUCCAGGAAAAGCCUCUAAGCAUCAGGUAACAUCAAAUCGUACCCCAAACCGACACAGGUGGUCAGGUAGAGAAUACCAAGGCGCUUGAGAGAACUCGGGUGAAGGAACUAGGCAAAAUGGUGCCGUAACUUCGGGAGAAGGCACGCUGAUAUGUAGGUGAAGUCCCUCGCGGAUGGAGCUGAAAUCAGUCGAAGAUACCAGCUGGCUGCAACUGUUUAUUAAAAACACAGCACUGUGCAAACACGAAAGUGGACGUAUACGGUGUGACGCCUGCCCGGUGCCG